rnacentral:tRNA from 1 species
GCUUCCUUGGUAUAGUGGCUGUGCCGCGUCCUUCCAAGUCGCUGAGGCCAGUUCGAUCCUGGCAGGACGCUCCA